rnacentral:rRNA from 1 species
AAACUGCCGUUGAUACUCUCUGUCUUGAAUCCCGUGGAGGUGAGCGGAAUAUGUCAUGUAGCGGUGAAAUGCUUAGAUAUGACAUAGAACACCAAUUGCGAAGGCAGCUUGCUACCCGAAUAUUGACACUGAGGCACGAAAGCGUGGGGAGCGAACAGGAUUAGAUACCCUGGUAGUCCGCACGGUAAACGAUGGAUGCCCGCUGUUGGUCUGAAUAGGUCAGCGGCCAAGCGAAAGCAUUAAGCAUCCCACCUGGGGAGUACGCCGGCA